rnacentral:rRNA from 1 species
UACGGGGGGAGCAAGCGUUGUUCGGAUUUACUGGGCGUAAAGGGCGCGUAGGCGGCCACCGCAAGUCAGUUGUGAAAUCUCUGGGCUUAACCCAGAACGGUCAGCUGAUACUGCGGGGCUAGAGUGCAGAAGGGGCAACUGGAAUUCUCGGUGUGAGCGGUGAAAUGCGUAGAUAUCGAGAGGAACACCUGCGGCGAAGGCGGGUUGCUGGGCUGACACUGACGCUGACAGCGCGAAAGCUAGGGGAGCGAACGGG